ACGCUCGACACCUACGGGGGCAGCAGUGGGGGAUAUUGCACAAUGGGGGAAACCCUGAUGCAGCAACGCCGCGUGAGGGAAGAAGGUUUUCGGAUUGUAAACCUCUGUCCUUGGUGACGAUAAUGACGGUAGCCAAGGAGGAAGCUCCGGCUAACUACGUGCCAGCAGCCGCGGUAAUCUGAGCGGGCUGGCAAGGC
rnacentral:rRNA from 1 species